rnacentral:rRNA from 1 species
GACGAACGCUGGCGGCGUGCUUAACACAUGCAAGUCGAACGGAAAGGCCCUGCUUUUGUGGGGUGCUCGAGUGGCGAACGGGUGAGUAACACGUGAGUAACCUGCCCUUGACUUUGGGAUAACUUCAGGAAACUGGGGCUAAUACCGGAUAGGAGCUCCUGCUGCAUGGUGGGGGUUGGAAAGUUUCGGCGGUUGGGGAUGGACUCGCGGCUUAUCAGCUUGUUGGUGGGGUAGUGGCUUACCAAGGCUUUGACGGGUAGCCGGCCUGAGAGGGUGACCGGCCACAAUGGGACUGAGAUACGGCCCAGACUCCAACGGGAGGCAGCAGUGGGGAAUAUUGCACAAUGGGCGGAAGCCUGAUGCAGCGACGCCGCGUGCGGGAUGACGGCCUUCGGGUUGAAAACCGAUUUCGCCUGUGACGAAGCGUGAGUGACGGUAAUGGGUAAAGAAGCACCGGCUAACUACGUG